UGCCAGCCGCCGCGGUAAUACGGAGGGUGCAAGCGUUGUUCGGAUUUAUUGGGUGUAAAGGGCAGGUAGGCGGCUAUACAAGUCUGUUGUGAAAUCCCAGGGCUCAACCCUGGAACUGCAAUGGAAACUGUAUGGCUUGAAUAUUAGAGGGGUGAAUGGAAUUCUUGGUGUAAGGGUGAAAUCUGUAGAUAUCAAGAGGAAUACCUAUGGCGAAGGCAAUUCACUGGCUAUAUAUUGACGUUCAACUGCGAAAGCAGGGGUAGCAAACAGGAUUAGAUA
rnacentral:rRNA from 1 species